AGUGAACGCUGGCGGUAGGCCUAACACAUGCAAGUCGAACGGCAGCACAGUAAGAGCUUGCUCUUACGGGUGGCGAGUGGCGGACGGGUGAGGAAUACAUCGGAAUCUACUUUUUCGUGGGGGAUAACGUAGGGAAACUUACGCUAAUACCGCAUACGACCUACGGGUGAAAGCAGGGGAUCUUCGGACCUUGCGCGAUUGAAUGAGCCAAUGUCGGAUUAGCUAGUUGGCGGGGUAAAGGCCCACCAAGGCGACGAUCCGUAGCUGGUCUGAGAGGAUGAUCAGCCACACUGGAACUGAGAAAAGGUCCAGACUCCUACGGGAGGCAGCAGUGGGGAAUAUUGGACAAUGGGCGCAAGCCUGAUCCAGCCAUACCGCGUGGGUGAAGAAGGCCUUCGGGUUGUAAAGCCCUUUUGUUGGGAAAGAAAAGCAGCAGGUUAAUACCCCGCUGUUCUGACGGUACCCAAAGAAUAAGCACCGGCUAACUUCGUG
rnacentral:rRNA from 1 species